GCAGGGACUUUGGAACUGAAGUAACCUUAGAGGUUCCAGAACAAGUGGACUUGCUUAUUAAACAAGCCACAUCACAUGAGAAUUUGUGCCAGUGUUACAUAGGAUGGUGUCCAUUCUGGUAGAUGAAUAACUGAAGAGAUAAAAAAAAAGGCUACUCCAAAUAGUUGUCAAGUUUACCAAAUAUAGAAAUCUUAUUGUUCAGAUAUUGUAUUUCAUUAAAUGUUAAAUGAAUAGGUAAGAACCUAAACGUGUUAAAAACUUGUUUGACAGGAAAUAUCAAAAGAUUUUGUGCAAAUUUAUAUUAUGUUCAAGGCCUUUUUAGUAAUAUUUUCCUUUAAUCAGUCUUUUGUUGAGAAAUUCUGUCAAAAGUUUAGAUUUUUUUUUUCCAAUUAAAAAUAUAAAAUAGGUAUUGAUGACUGUGAAAAAGUAUUACUAAUAUUUAAAUUAACACUGAAAAAUAUUACCCAAAAUAUUUAAUUUGUAUCAAAAACAAAAGACACAGCCUUGUUUAUCCUAAAUCCUGAACAGCAGUGUGAUGUAGUAGGAUAUGAAUUAGCAACUUGUUUCUGAUAGACAAUUAUAAAAAAUCUGAUUAUAAAAAUAUAUAUAUAUCGGUGAAAAUAAUGUAAAAAAAUUUUGACAUUUCUUAACAUUGUUGCUCUGUAUUGAAUUAUUUUGAGACUUAGUAUUUGAGAAUAAAAAUGGCCAAGUGCAACUUAAACUAGAA